rnacentral:lncRNA from 1 species
GUUUGCUAAAAUUUUCAAGAUUCCUCGUCACAUCGAAUUUUUAGUCGCAUGUAUGGAGUAUUAAAUAUAGAUGAAAAUAAAAACUAAUUGCACUGUUUACUGUAAUUUGUAAGAUGAAUCUUUUGAGCCUAAUUAUUUUAUAAUUGGACAAUGUUUGUCAAAUAAAAAUGAAAGUGCUACAGUAACCAAAAACUGAAAUUUUUGCGAACUAAACAAGGCCUGAGAAAUGAAAAUAAAAAAAAGAAAAAACAAAGAAAUAACUAUAGUGAUGUUCACGUAAUAUAUAUACGAUGUUCUUUAAAUUUUUUCUUUGUUACAUAUUUUUAUUUUUUUCCUUAUGCUUUGCUCUAGGUAUUAUUUGUAUUACAUUAUAUAUUUAUUUAUUUUCAUGUAUAUUAUAGUAUCAAUUUCUUAUGAAUCUAGAAUAUUGCCUCUGCUCAAAUUCAUAUAUAUAUAUAUUUUCAUGUAUAUUAUAGUACCAAUUCAUGUAUAUUAUAGUACCAAUUUUUUAUUUAUUUUCACGUAAUAUAUAUACGAUGUUCUUUAAUGUAAUUAUUGAUGUUCUAUAGUGUAUUUAGUUUUUUUCACGUAAUAUAUAUGCGAUGUUCUAUAACAUAUUUUAGCGAUGUUCACAUAGUAUACAUAUAGUGUUCUAUGAUGUAUUUAGUGAUGUUCACACAAUAUAUAUGCGAUGUGAUGUUCUAUAAUUUAUUUAGUGAUGUUCUAUGGUGUAUUUAGUAAUGUUCACUUACUACAUAUGUGAUGUUUUAUAUGAUAUUUUCAGUAUACAAAAUGAUAGAAUAAAAAAUUAAUAUACUCUGACAAAAUAGGGAUGUGCGUGCGAAAAAUCUGACGAAAUAAAGAAAUAACUUUAACUAAAUAUAUAGUAAAAAAAUAUUAAUAUUAAUAAUACAUAAUUAGGGUAUUGUAGUAUUUUCGUUUGUUUGUAGCAAAUUAGUUUUUGUUUUCUUCUAUAUUUAGUGCUUCAUGCAUGUGCCACAAUAUGUAAAUGUGAUAUAAUAUUCGUUCCCUCUUUCUUCCUUCUUCCGGAUCGACGUCUCUCUGUCGUGGUCACCGAAGUCCCCGUCGAGUCUCCGCACGGACCGCCGUCUCACCGCCUUCAAACUACAGGUAUGUCUAGAGAUGGAUCUAGUAGUGGUACAAUUAGUGCUAUAAUUAGUGGUACAAUUAGUGGUAUAAAUUGGUGGUACAAUUAUGAUAUAUUUAAUUAUUAGCAAAUGAUAUACUCUAAACCCUAAACCUAAGCCCUAAGCCCUAAGACCUAAGCCCUAAAUCCUAAACCCUAAACCCUAACCCCUAAACCCGAAACCCUAAACCCUAGUUUUAUAUAUUGUUUCCUUGUCAGGUAUACACAGUAGUGCUAGUAGUCCUGCGUCACAUAUUUCUGCAGAAAUGGCCGACCCGAGAGAACACGAAGAGGAAAUGAUGAACCUGAUCUGCGGUCCCAAUGAAGAAGUUUA